CCCAAAAUUUUGUACUUGUAACAUCUACUUCUCACUUCUUAGAUAGACAAACAAUGUUUCUUAGAGCUAAACCCCAACAAUAUAAAAUCUCCCGCUUUUUCACCAUUGAAGCAACAAAGCAAGCUUUCAAUAAUCAACAAGAAUGUUUUUCCAUUACUCAACAACUCUUAUUCCUCUUGAAACAAUGCAUUACAAUCAAACAAGUACAACAAAUCCAUACCCAAAUGUUAAUUUACUCUAUAGACAAAGCCAACUUUUUGCUUUCAAGAAUAAUAGACCUCAAGAAUUUUGACUAUGCUUCUCUUCUUUUUUCACAUAUUCAUAGCCCCAAUGAGUAUGCAUUUAACAUUAUGAUAAGAGGGUUAACUACAACAUGGCAAAAAUUUGAUCUUUCUUUAGAAUUUUAUUACAAAAUGAAGUCUUUGGGUUUGAAAACUGAUAAUUUCACUUACCCUUUUGUGUUUAUGUGUUGUGGGAAUCUUUUAGCUAUGAAACUUGGUAGAUUAGCUCAUUGUGAGGUGGUGAAAAAUGGGUUGUUUGUGGAUUUUCAUGUUGGUCAUUCUUUGAUUACUAUGUAUUCACGUUUUGGAAAGAUGGGUUUUGCAAGGAAGGUGUUUGAUGAAAUUUCACUGAGAGAUUUGGUUUCGUGGAAUUCGAUGAUUUCGGGGUAUGCUCAAACGGGUUGUUCGAGAGAGGCAGUGGAAUUGUUUAUGGAAAUGAGGAAUGAGGGGUUUGAACCUGAUGAGAGGAGUCUUGUGAGUGUUCUUGUGGCAUGCGGGGAUUUGGGAGAUGUGAAUUUGGGAAAGUGGGUGGAGGAGUAUGUUGUGGGGAAGAGAAUGGAGAUGAAUUCUUUUAUUGGUUCAGCUCUGAUUAACAUGUAUGGAAAGUGUGGAGAUUUGGUUUCUGCUAGAAGGAUCUUUGAUGGCAUGAGGAAGAAAGAUGCCAUCACUUGGAAUGCAAUGAUUUCAGGGUAUGCACAAAAUGGGUUGUCCGAUGAAACAAUCUCUUUGUUCAAUGCCAUGAAGGAGGCAGGAGUAAACCCAAAUAAUAUCACACUGGUAAGUGUUCUCUCUGCAUGUGCUUCAAUUGGAGCCCUGGAUGUCGGAAAAAGCAUCGAUGACUAUGCAUCAAGAAGAGGAAUAAGGCAUGACAUAUAUGUAGCUACGGCCUUAAUUGAUAUGUAUGCAAAAUCCGGCAAGCUGGACGAUGCAUAUCAAAUUUUUGAAAGCAUGCCUAGAAAAAAUGAAGUCUCUUGGAAUGCAAUGAUUUCUGCUCUUGCCUUUCAUGGAAGAGCACAAGAAGCAUUAUCCAUAUUUGAGCGCAUGUCACUCGAGAGUAGUGAUGCCCGCCCAGAUGAUGUCACGUUUGUUGGAGUACUCUCAGCAUGUGUACAUGCAGGGUUGGUUGAUCAAGGCAAGCACAUCUUUGAUAUAAUGAACUCAUCAUUUGGAUUGGUUCCAAAAGUUGAGCAUUACUCUUGCAUGGUUGACCUUUUAUCUCGUGCUGGUCGUGUAUAUGAGGCAUGGGACUUCAUUGAGAAGAUGCCUCAAAAACCAGAUGAAAUUUUACUUGGUGCAUUGCUUGGUGCCUGUCAGAAGCUCAAAAAUAUUGAUGUCGGGGAACGAGUGAUGCAGCUACUCCUUGAGAUGGAACCGUCAAAUUCGGGUAAUUAUAUAAUAUCAUCCAAGAUAUAUGCAAACCUCCGAAGGUGGGAUGAUUCAGCAAGAAUGAGACAAUUAAUGCGACAGAAAGGUGUGACUAAAAUUCCAGGCUGUAGCUGGAUUGAGAUGGAUUCUCAACUUGUUGAAUUUCGUGCUGGUGAUUCGUCACAUCCAAUCGUAGAUGGGAUUCAACAAGCACUAGACUUGUUGUACGAGGAGAUGACCAUAGAAGGUUAUGUUCCAAAUGUGAAUCUUGUGUAGAAAGUAUGUAACUUUGCAGCAUGGAUUGUUGGAUAGGCAACCCGGUACCUCUAUGAUCAUCAUGAGUGCUUGAACUGAAUGCAUGAUCAGUUUGUUGGAUUCAGUAAUCGGCAUACUUCCAUGUGAAGUCUGACUUGCCAGGAUCCUUUUAUGCCUGCUUCGAAACCAAAUGAGAAGUUACACAUAGAGGAACCAGAAAUGGUAACUGAACAAAGCAAUUUCAGGAAAUGAUCAAGCAAGAAGCGAUCCAAUCUCCGCCACACCGAGUGCAUAGUAAGAUUCCUCUCUCAAAUCCUGCAACCAAAGUAUACAUAUUUUGCUGGACAACACAGAAAUUUGGUGCUCCUUGUCACGUUGCUUGAUGUUCUUCGGUUGUAACUAAAGAGUGAAAGUUCAGCAAAUUGUAGCGAGUAGUGCCCCUCCCCUUCCAACACCCCCUGGGGCAUUUACGCCUGCAUGGUUUCGGAUGGAACUUUCUGAAUUUUGACGAAAAUA